rnacentral:lncRNA from 1 species
AAUUAAGUACCAAGAUGUCCCUAGGGUGCUCAGCACAGCUUUUAGCACAUAAUAUUCUGUUGCUCACCUUAAUUUAAUUUGUUUUGAACCAAAAUUCUUUUUCUUUUUAAGCCUAUUAUUCUUUUUUGUAUUUUUAAUAUUUAUUUUAUUUUUACUUAUGUGAUGUGUGUGUGCGUAGAGGAGCCUGAGAAGGCCAGAAGAUCCCAUUGGGUUCCCUGCAGCAUGAGUUAAAGAGGCAGUUGUGAGCUACCAGAGCAGAGGUGUGGCUCCUCCGGAAGAGCAGCGAGUGCUCGUAACCAAGUCAUCUCCAGCCCACGUCCAUUCUUCCUUACAGAAUUACUAUGCUAACGGUUACUCUUAAAUUACUUCAGCUCAUGCUGGCAAUUACCUUUUGGUCUUAAGAAUUUGUGUGGUGCUGAAAAGGUGACUCGGCAGUUAGAGCACUAGCUGCCCUCCCAGAGGUUCAAUUCCCAGAAUUCACAUGUGGCUCACAACAUCGAGAACUCCGGUACCAGGGACUCUGAAAUCCUCUUCUCAGCUCUUGGGGCACCGGGUGUGCACAAGGUGCACAGACAUACAUGCAAGCAAAACGCACCCCGUAAAAGGUUUUACGAUUUGGUUUUUACAUUUCAUUUAAUAUUUUGUGCGUGGGGGGUGUGGAUAUGGAUGUGCAUUUGAGGUCAGAGGACAGCUUCUCUCCUUCCUCCUCGUGCGUCCAGUGGACGGCGCUCCGGCCCUCAUCCUUGACCCAUAAGCUCGUUACUCAGCGAGACAUCUUCCAGCCCUACCCCGACCUCUGUGUGCUACACGCACGGAUAUAAAUGUAAACAGAUUCAGUAUUGGCUACAUUAUAUGCGUGUUUUGCUUGCAUGUCUGUCUGUGCUUCACAUGUGUGCACAUCCGUGGGAGCCAGAAGAAGGUGUCAGAGCCGCUGUACUUGAAGCCUACAGACAGUUGUUGGCAGCUGCGUGGGUGCGUGGGUUGAACCUGGGCGCACACAGGAGCACAGCACUCCUCACCUCUGAGCUGUCUCUCUAGCUCAUUGACUGUAUCUUAAUGAUAACGUACGCCACGGUCUUACGUUCAGUAUCUUUUCCCAAAGACUUUUGUUGCUGGUUGUAAUAAUAACCUUUCUCUAGAACCUGUUAUUUUCCUUGCAAGUACCCUAGACAAAAGAUAGAAGCGGGCAGAGGAUGAGAGGAAACAAUAGUUUUCCCCUCUAAAUUGCCUGCUGUGGAUUUUCAGGAAGGCAGACAUCACGUAAAUAAGGCACAGCUACUGGGCCAUCGAGAACUGAGGAGUGACACCGAGGAGUCGGCCAGCCCAGGCCUUCAGUAGAGGGGCAUAGCUAGCUUUUCUUUAGGGAAUCCCCUCCACUCCAGAGCUAAGAAGGGUGGCCUGCCGCUCCUUCCUUUUCCUCUUUCUACACAUUGUGCUUUUAUUACUUUGGAUCUCACACCCGCCCCCUGCCCCCGGAUUUGGGGGCAAGAGGACUAUUUGCUUAGAGACUUCUGUUUGUUAAGUCCUGUCUUCCAAGUCAGAAGCCUGUCGUGUUGGUGAAGGUAAGGGUACUGCCCCCCCUCCCCCGAGCUCGCCGCCGGUGACCACAGCUGGAUGAGCGAGGGUCUGAGCACAGGAGAGAGCUUCAGGCUUUCACAGUCUUCUCUUUACAGGCUUUGUGCUUGGAGCUUUUGAAAAACAGUGGGUUUGCUAUUGAGAAGAAUACUGGGUGCUUUUGUGAGGCCAGUCUUUCCCUUGCAGAGGCAGCUGUAGUGUUAAUAAAGUUGUUGAUAGUCCACAUUCUCCAUGAGGAAUACAUUUGGGGCAGGGCUUCCUUUUCUUACAAGGUUGUAACGUUUGUAAGGUCACGGAUGAUAGUUCUCGUUCUUAGGUCCCAGUAGAGCACCUGGCACUCACCGUCACCUACUAUAGUUCUAUUAAAAGAAAAUUCUGCUGGCCCGAAACAUAGGGAAAAGUUAAGUUUCUUAGUACUUAACACCCUCUUAGUACUUAACACACAGUUUCAGCAGCCUUAGCUGUCUAUGUUUCUAUUCAUACAGGCUGUCACAGCGUAGGGAAAGCCAGGACUUCUCCUUUAUGGCUAAGAUCAGCCAUUUUCCUUACAAGUUUAUAGGAAAAUGUCCCAGUAUCCGUAGUUUAAAAAGAUAGUGACAUUGAUAUUUCAGAAAAUGAGUUCUUAGUUGAAUGUAAAAUAAUGAUUUAAUUGGUUUCUUGAGUAUUCUUCCAAGAUAUUGUGUAAAAGUGGAGUUUGAAUAGAGUCCUGGCUGAGCAAAAGAAAGAUAGGUUUCCCUGCAGCCUAGGGUGUGCUGCGGAUUCUAUCCUUGGCAAACCUUCAGGCCCAGUGGGAAUAGCAUAGAGGAUGAUGGGAAGAAAUCGAGGAAGCAGCAAGAUAAGAUCACAUGACCUCUCUGAUCUCUCCUGGUACCAGGCAGGUAGCUGGUACACAGCGUAUACAUGCAGGCACAACACUCAUAUAUACAAAAUAAGUCUUAAAAAUGUAAUAAAUAGAAAUUUUUAAAUAAAGUAAAAGUUGAAAUAUAGCUGUAAGUAAAAUAUCUUUGUAAAAUGUUGGGAAUAUUAAGUCUGGGAAACUGGGACGUGUGUAUCAUUCUUAAGUUCUUUGGUUAAUAAAGCUUCAUUCUGAGUUGCAGUGUUGAUGUCACCACUGACUUAAGCCCCUUCUCUUAGUGAGGGAACUGUAAGAGGAAGCCGAACAGAAUAAACAAGCAGAAGGAGCUAGCUAAUGUGGAGAACCUUCAAUAGCUACGGCUUAGCGUUCUACAGGCUAUUUUAUACGCAGAACCUUAGACAAAUACUCCCUUCUAAGUAAGCGAUGUAAGCCUUGUUUUGUACGAAGUCCCUUGUGCCUGUCGCCUUCUGUACGACCAGGACAAUGCAAGCAGAUAGAAUGUGGCUUGUCUCAGAGGGAAAUAGUUUAAGUAUGAAGAAUGUUAUUUGAGGUUGUUACAUCUCUAACCAGAAUUGGGAAAUAAAAUAUCUGUGCUAUUUCCAGGCC